GAUGAACGCUGGCGGCGUGCCUAAUACAUGCAAGUCGAGCGAACGGACGAGAAGCUUGCUUUUCUGAUGUUAGCGGCGGACGGGUGAGUAACACGUGGAUAACCUACCUAUAAGACUGGGAUAACUUCGGGAAACCGGAGCUAAUACCGGAUAAUAUUUUGAACCGCAUGGUUCAAAAGUGAAAGACGGUCUUGCUGUCACUUAUAGAUGGAUCCGCGCUGCAUUAGCUAGUUGGUAAGGUAACGGCUUACCAAGGCAACGAUGCAUAGCCGACCUGAGAGGGUGAUCGGCCACACUGGAACUGAGACACGGUCCAGACUCCUACGGGAGGCAGCAGUAGGGAAUCUUCCGCAAUGGGCGAAAGCCUGACGGAGCAACGCCGCGUGAGUGGUGAAGGUCUUCGGAUCGUAAAACUCUGUUAUUAGGGAAGAACAUAUGUGUAAGUAACUGUGAACAUCUUGACGGUACCUAAUCAGAAAGCCACGGCUAACUACGUG
rnacentral:rRNA from 1 species